GACGAACGCUGGCGGCGUGCUUAACACAUGCAAGUCGAACGGAAAGGCCCUGCUUUUGUGGGGCGCUCGAUUGGCGAACGGGUGAGUAACACGUGAGUAACCUGCCCUUGACUUUGGGAUAACUUCAGGAAACUGGGGCUAAUACCGGAUAGGAGCUCCUGCUGCAUGUUGGGGGUUGGAAAGUUUCGGCGGUUGGGGAUGGACUCGCGGCUUAUCAGCUUGUUGGUGGGGUAGUGGCUUACCAAGGCUUUGACGGGUAGCCGGCCUGAGAGGGUGACCGGCCACAUUGGGACUGAGAUACGGCCCAGACUCCUACGGGAGGCAGCAGUGGGGAAUAUUGCACAAUGGGCGGAAGCCUGAUGCAGAAACGCCGCGUGCGGGAUGACGGCCUUCGGGUUGUAAACCGCUUUCGCCUGUGACGAAGCGUGAGUGACGGUAAUGGGUAAAGAAGCACCGGCUAACUACGUG
rnacentral:rRNA from 1 species